UACGAAGGGUGCAAGCGUUACUCGGAAUUACUGGGCGUAAAGCGUGCGUAGGUGGUUUGUUAAGUCUGAUGUGAAAGCCCUGGGCUCAACCUGGGAAUUGCAUUGGAUACUGGCAAGCUAGAGUGCGGUAGAGGAUGGCGGAAUUCCCGGUGUAGCAGUGAAAUGCGUAGAGAUCGGGAGGAACAUCUGUGGCGAAGGCGGCCUACUGGGCUGCACCUGACGCUGAGCCGCGAAAGCCAGGGGAGCGAACGGG
rnacentral:rRNA from 1 species